UUUGCAUGUAAUGGUCCUUGGCCUAUAACUAGUUUUUCUUUUGUAAGUGUGUCAAACAGCUGUUCUCAGAUAUUCUAAUUUGCUUUCUUCUAGGCAUAUGGUAGAACUGAACUUUGUUCUACUGAAAUUGCUCAUUGCCAUGUGAUUUGCUUUGGCGAAUGAAAUGAAACUGAAGGUGAUGUGUGGACUCUUCUUGGGGGAGGCAUUUCAUUGCCAGUGACAGAGAUGAAGUCUCACCAUAUUGCCCAGGCUGGUUUCAAACUCUUGGACUUAAGCAAUCCUCCCACCUCGCCUCCCAAAGUGCCAGGAACACACUUAUGUCUCUUACAGCCAUGGAAACAAUGAACUGCUAACAUGUGUUUUUAGAAAGAAUGUGGAAGUAUGGGAACCUCUUCCUUUAUGUGGUAAUUGAGGACUAGGCCAGGCACAGUGGCUCACACCUGUAAUCCCAGCACUUUGGGAGGCUGAGAAAGGCAGAUCACUUGAGGUCAUGAGUUCGAGACCAGCCUGGCCAACGUGGUGAAACCCAGUCUCAACUAAAAAUACAAAAAAUUAGCUGGGCUUGGUGGCGCAUGCCUGUAAUCCCAGCUACUUGGGAGGCUGAGGCAGGAGAAUCACUUGAGCCUGGGUGGUGGAGGUUGCAAUGAGCUGAGAUCGCGUCACUGCACUUCAGCCUGGACAACAGAAUGAGACCCUGUCUCAAAACAACAACAACUACUACUAUUGUUUUUAUACUGUACAAUGUUAAAAUUUUUCAAAUGAUAGAAAAAGUUUUAAAAUAAGUCUUUGGUCUAUCACCUAGUACUUAGUCCUACAAUCUUCAGAGUUUGUUUAUCAUUUCCAGCCAAUAAAUGCCUUUCCAUAAA